GACGAACGCUGGCGGCGUGCUUAACACAUGCAAGUCGAACGAUGGACCUCGAAAUGAUUUCUUCGGAAAGAUUUUUGAGAGGAUUAGUGGCGAACGGGUGAGUAACGCGUGAGCAACCUGCCUUAGACAAGGGGAUAGCCUCGGGAAACCGUGAUUAAUACCCUAUGAGACUCCACUUACGAGUGUAAGAGAAGUUAAAGCUAUUGCGGUCUAAGAUGGGAUCGCGUCUGAUUAGCUAGUUGGUGAGAUAAAAGCCCAUCAAGGCGACGAUCAGUAACCGGCUUGAGAGAGUGAGCGGUGACACCUGAACUGGGACACAGUCGAGACUCCUACGCGAGGCAGCAGUGGGGAAUAGUGCAACAUCGCGGGAACGCUGAUGCAGUGACGCCGGGUGAGCGAUGUAGUAAUUCGUUUCGUAAAGCUCUGGUCUUGGAGAAGAUCAUGACGGUAACCAAGGAGGAAGCACCGGCUAAAUACGUG
rnacentral:rRNA from 1 species